rnacentral:rRNA from 1 species
CCCGCACAAGCGGUGGAGCAUGUGGUUUAAUCGAAGCAACGCGAAGAACCUUACCAGGUCUUGACAUCCCCUGACAACCCAAGAGAUUGGGCGUUCCCCUUCGGGGGGACAGGGUGACAGGUGGUGCAUGGUUGUCGUCAGCUCGUGUCGUGAGAUGUUGGGUUAAGUCCCGCAACGAGCGCAACCCUCGCCUCUAGUUGCCAGCAUUCGGUUGGGCACUCUAGAGGGACUGCCGGCGACAAGUCGGAGGAAGGUGGGGAUGACGUCAAAUCAUCAUGCCCCUUAUGACCUGGGCUACACACGUGCUACAAUGGGCGGUACAAAGGGCUGCGAACCCGCGAGGGGGAGCGAAUCCCAAAAAGCCGCUCUCAGUUCGGAUUGCAGGCUGCAACUCGCCUGCAUGAAGCCGGAAUCGCUAGUAAUCGCGGAUCAGCAUGCCGCGGUGAAUACGUUCCCGGGCCUU